UACGUAGGGGGCAAGCGUUGUCCGGAAUCAUUGGGCGUAAAGCGCGUGUAGGCGGCUCGAUAAGUCUGCUGUGAAAGUCCAGGGCUCAACCCUGGAAUGCCGGUGGAAACUGUCGGGCUAGAGUCCGGAAGAGGCGAGGUGGAAUUCCUGGUGUAGCGGUGAAAUGCGCAGAUAUCAGGAGGAACACCGGUGGCGAAGGCGGUUCUCUGGGCCUUACCUGACGCUGAGGAGCGAAAGCGUGGGGAGCAAACAGG
rnacentral:rRNA from 1 species